UGUCAGUAGUUGUGCCACACGGGACUGUUUGUCYGUUAGAUUCUCUUUUGUUAUUUUGUUUCGUGUAGUGUUCAGUUWAUUUGAUAAUAAAACAUSGACACUUUCCACUCUGCGUCUUGGUCCGAUCKCUACACCUCCUCUUCAGACGAAGAGGAGGAAAUCAGCCGUAACAGUAUCUUUGAGGGGCCAGAAGCUGAUCUACGCUGCCAUGCCCAUCUUUGGGGCGCUGGCAAAACCUUUACCUCUAGCCUCACCUCUUGCCUGCUCAUCGAUGGGGAGACCAGAAUUUGACGCAUCUAUGGAGUCAGCACUUGGAGACUUGCAAGAUAAUGUGAUCAGUGGCGACCUGUAAUUCAAGGGCAGAGCCCCACCUGUUCGUGGAUUUAAAAAAAAAAUACA